CCCGCACAAGCGGAGGAGCAUGUGGUUUAAUUCGAUGAUACGCGAGGAACCUUACCUGGGCUCGAACGUAAGAUGACUGUAGGUGAAAGCUUACAUCUCUUCGGAGCAUUUUACGAGGUGCUGCACGGUUGUCGUCAGCUCGUGCCGUGAGGUGUCGGGUUAAGUCCCAUAACGAGCGCAACCCCUACCUUUAGUUGCCAUCAGGUUAAGCUGGGGACUCUAAAGGAACUGCCUACGCAAGUAGUGAGGAAGGCGGGGAUGACGUCAAAUCAGCACGGCCCUUACGUCCAGGGCUACACACGUGCUACAAUGGCCGAUACAGAGGGCAGCUACCUGGUGACAGGAUGCAAAUCUCCAAAGUCGGUCUCAGUUCGGAUCGGAGUCUGCAACCCGACUCCGUGAAGUUGGAUUCGCUAGUAAUCGCGCAUCAGCCAUGGCGCGGUGAAUACGUUCCCGGGCCUU
rnacentral:rRNA from 1 species